rnacentral:rRNA from 1 species
AUUGAACGCUGGCGGCAGGCCUAACACAUGCAAGUCGAGCGGAUGAAGGGAGCUUGCUCCUGGAUUCAGCGGCGGACGGGUGAGUAAUGCCUAGGAAUCUGCCUGGUAGUGGGGGAUAACGUCCGGAAACGGGCGCUAAUACCGCAUACGUCCUGAGGGAGAAAGUGGGGGAUCUUCGGACCCCACGCUGUCAGAUGAGCCUAGGUCGGAUUAGCUAGUUGGUGGGGUAAAGGCCUACCAAGGCGACGAUCCGUAACUGGUCUGAGAGGACGAUCCGUCACACUGGAACUGAGACACGGUCCAGACUCCUACGGGAGGCAGCAGUGGGGAAUAUUGGACAAUGGGCGAAAGCCUGAUCCAGCCAUGCCGCGUGUGUGAAGAAGGUCUUCGGAUUGUAAAGCACUUUAAGUUGGGAGGAAGGGCAGUAAGUUAAUACCUUGCUGUUUUGACGUUACCAACAGAAUAAGCACCGGCUAACUUCGUG